rnacentral:rRNA from 1 species
GUCAGAGGUGAAAUUCUUGGAUUUAUGGAAGACGAACGGAUGCGAAAGCGUUUGGCAAGGAUAUACCCAUUGAUCAAGGACGAAAGUUAGGGGAUCGAAGACGAUUAGAUACCGUCGUAGUCUUAACCAUAAACGAUGCCAUCUAAAAGAUGGUGUCAUCCUUUUUUUCCGGGAAACCAAAGAUUUUGGGUUCUGGGGGGAGUAUGGUCGCAAGUCUGAAACUUAAAGGRAUUGACGGAAGGGCACCACCAGGAGUGGAGCCUGCGGCUUAAUUUGACUCAACACGGGGCAACUUACCAGGUCCGGACAUUUUUAUGAUUGACAGAUUGAUAGCUCUYUCAUGAUUGAAUGGGUGGUGGUGCAUGGCCGUUCUUAGUUGGUGGAGUGAUUUGUCUGGUUAAUUCCGUUAACGAACGAGACCUUUUCCUGCUAACUAGUUAACUUCUUAGAGGUACUAUUCGUUUUYCACGGAUGGAAGCUUUAGGCAAUAACAGGUCUGUGAUGCCCUUUGAUGUCCUGGGCUGCACGCGGGCUACACUGAUGCAUUCACUGAGUACUGAAAGGAAUAUGGGUAAUCUUUGAAAGUGCAUCGUGCUUGGGAUUGAAAACUGUAACUGUUUUCAUGAACGAGGAAUUCCUUGUAAACGCGAGUCAUCAACUUGCGUUGAUUACGUCCCUGCCCUU